GUAGGCUGCAGCUCGAGUGAGCAAUGCCAUUUCUGCAUAACGUCGAAGAUGCUCGAAGAGGCAGAAACUAGGGUUUAUGAGGUUAGAGUCGUACCUGCUGUAAGCUUGCUGCUAGAGAGGAGUGCGCUUUGAAAGAAUAUUUAUGUAAUUUCCGAGAUAUGAUGACUAAUUCUACAGUGAAAAGCAUUCGGGGAACAGCCAACCUGCUUCUAGAACUGCUUUUCCUGAGGUACCCACCUUUAAGAAAUAACGCCAUCUUCAUCAAAUUUUCUAAAGCAAACUGGAGACUAAGGGUGUCGAGGUGGCUACCAGGGAUGACGAGGGUGUUGCUUGCUCAGGACAAGAAUGAAAACAUAAGGUACAUGACUGCACAUAUCUGAGAAUGCAUCCUUUUUUUAUUCCACUGCAAACUUCAUUUUCCCCUUACCCGAACCAAGUAAAAUAAAUUAAAAAUAAAUUUUGACAUCUGACUACAGAC